rnacentral:tRNA from 1 species
GUAGCUCAAUGGUUAGAGCUGGCCGCUCAUAGCGGGCUCGUUGCAGGUUUGAGUCCUGCC